rnacentral:rRNA from 1 species
UACGUAGGGUGCAAGCGUUGUCCGGAAUUAUUGGGCGUAAAGAGCUCGUAGGCGGUUUGUCGCGUCUGCUGUGAAAACUCGGGGCUUAACCCCGGGCCUGCAGUGGGUACGGGCAGGCUAGAGUUCGGUAGGGGAGACUGGAAUUCCUGGUGUAGCGGUGAAAUGCGCAGAUAUCAGGAGGAACACCGGUGGCGAAGGCGGGUCUCUGGGCCGAUACUGACGCUGAGGAGCGAAAGCGUGGGGAGCGAUCAGG